GCGAGGCGUUCGUAAGACGUUUUACACUAGUGGUUUUGCAUUCAAUUUAUGGUCUCCCCAAUUCCCAAACUCCCCAAAAGACCAAAGUAUACACAAUUAAUUGGUCAUUACACAUAACUAAGAUUUUGGCCGAAGAAAAAAGGAGGUGUAAUCUUUGAGAGUUCGAAGAUUCUUCAAUAUUGGAGACUUAGGAAGACAAAUAAAUAUGGAGGUAAAACCAGCAGUUGCCGUGAGGGCCAUCCUUGUUGGAGGAAUUGCUGCAUUUGCUAAAAUCGGCGGUGCUGUUAAAGCUGCAGGAGGCAUAAAAAUAGGUGCAGCUGCUGCUGCUAUGACUGCUGCAGCAACUGCUGCCAUUUCAGGAUCCAAACAAGAAGCAAAAACUGCUUCUCAGCACUCAUCAAAAUGAUUCAAUACAAAUUAUAAGUUAUAGAAUAGUGGUGUUGCUAGUUGGAUAGUAUACAUAAUUGAUCAAGUAGCUCACAUAUGAGUCUUGGAUUGUUCUGUACAAAUAAAUGUAGGAAUUUUUGAAGCGAAGUUUUUGUCAUCACUUUGUUCUAUAGUAUACUGGGAAUGUACUCUGGCGUAGGAAUAAAGAUUAUUUGUGGCUUUACUGCUA